rnacentral:tRNA from 1 species
UCCCUGGUGGCUCAGAUGGUAAAGCAUCUGCCUGCAAUGCAGGAGACCUAGGUUCGAUUCCUGGGUUGGGAA